UACGGAGGGGGCGAGCGUUAUUCGGAAUUAUUGGGCGUAAAGGGCGCGUAGGCGGCUGUACAAGUCAAAGGUGAAAUCCCUCGGCUCAACUGAGGAACUGCCUUUGAAACUGUACGGCUUGAGGCCGGGAGGGGGUAGCGGAAUUCCCAAUGUAGCGGUGAAAUGCGUAGAUAUCGGGAGGAACACCGGUGGCGAAGGCGGGUCUCUGGGCCGUAACUGACGCUGAGGAGCGAAAGCAUGGGGAGCGAACAGG
rnacentral:rRNA from 1 species